CAUUACCGAGUGAGGGCCCUCUGGGUCCAACCUCCCACCCGUGUUUAUUUUACCUUGUUGCUUCGGCGGGCCCGCCUUAACUGGCCGCCGGGGGGCUUACGCCCCCGGGCCCGCGCCCGCCGAAGACACCCUCGAACUCUGUCUGAAGAUUGUAGUCUGAGUGAAAAUAUAAAUUAUUUAAAACUUUCAACAACGGAUCUCUUGGUUCCGGCAUCGAUGAAGAACGCAGCGAAAUGCGAUACGUAAUGUGAAUUGCAAAUUCAGUGAAUCAUCGAGUCUUUGAACGCACAUUGCGCCCCCUGGUAUUCCGGGGGGCAUGCCUGUCCGAGCGUCAUUGCUGCCCUCAAGCACGGCUUGUGUGUUGGGCCCCGUCCUCCGAUCCCGGGGGACGGGCCCGAAAGGCAGCGGCGGCACCGCGUCCGGUCCUCGAGCGUAUGGGGCUUUGUCACCCGCUCUGUAGGCCCGGCCGGCGCUUGCCGAUCAACCCAAAUUUUUAUCCAGGUUGACCUCGGAUCAGGUAGGGAUACCCGCUGAACUUAAGCAUAUCAA
rnacentral:rRNA from 1 species